rnacentral:rRNA from 1 species
GACGAACGCUGGCGGCGUGCUUAACACAUGCAAGUCGAACGGUAAGGCCCUUCGGGGUACACGAGUGGCGAACGGGUGAGUAACACGUGGGUGAUCUGCCCUGCACUUCGGGAUAAGCCUGGGAAACUGGGUCUAAUACCGGAUAGGACCACUGCCUGCAUGGGUGGUGGUGGAAAGCUUUUGCGGUGUGGGAUGGGCCCGCGGCCUAUCAGCUUGUUGGUGGGGUGAUGGCCUACCAAGGCGACGACGGGUAGUCGGCCUGAGAGGGUGACCGGCCACACUGGGACUGAGAUACGGACCAGACUCCUACGGUAGGCAGCAGGGGGGAAUAUUGCACAAUGGGCGCAAGCCUGAUGCAGCGACGCCGCGUGAGGGAUGACGGCCUUCGGGUUGUAAACCUCUUUCAGCACCGACGAAGCGCAAGUGACGGUAGGUGCAGAAGAAGGACCGGCCAACUACGUGCCAGCCGCCGCAGUAAUAC